rnacentral:rRNA from 1 species
ACGGGUGAGUAACACGUGGACAAUCUGCCCCCCGGCCCGGGAUAGCCCAGGGAAACCUGGAUUAAUACCGGAUGAGACGGGACCCGCGGAGGCGGGAUCCGGGAAAGGCGCUACGGCGCCGCCGGGGGAUAAGUCUGCGUCCCAUUAGCUAGACGGCGGGGUAACGGCCCACCGUGGCGACGAUGGGUAGCCGGCCUGAGAGGGUGGACGGCCACAUUGGAACUGAGACACGGUCCAGACUCCUACGGGAGGCAGCAGCUAAGAAUCUUCCGCAAUGGGCGAAAGCCUGACGGAGCGACGCCGCGUGAACGAAGAAGGCCGUGAGGUUGUAAAGUUCUUUUCGGGAGGGGGAACAACCGUGGCAGGGAAUGGCCGCGGGAUGACGUGAAUCCCGGAAUAAGCCCCGGCUAACUACGUGCCAGCAGCCGCGGUAACACGUAGGGGGCGAGCGUUGUUCGGAAUCAUUGGGCGUAAAGGGCGUGCAGGCGGUCCUGCAAGUCCAGCGUGAAAGACCCCGGCCCAACCGGGGGGACGCGCUGGAAACUGCGGGGCUUGAGUACAGGAGGGGAUGCCGGAAUUCCAGGUGUAGGGGUGAAAUCUGUAGAUAUCUGGAAGAACACCAAUGGCGAAGGCAGGCAUCUGGCCAUGUACUGACGCUGAGACGCGAAGGUGCGGGGAGCAAACAGGUUUAGAUACCCUGGUAGUCCGCACAGUAAACGAUGUGCACCAGGUGGCGGGGGGUCGACCCUCGGUACCGUAGCUAACGCAUUAAGUGCACCGCCUGGGGAGUAUGCUCGCAAGGGUGAAACUCAAAGGAAAUGACGGGGGCCCGCACAAGCGGUGGAGCGUGUGGUUUAAUUCGAAGCAACGCGAAGAACCUCACCAGGUCUUGACAUACUCGUGCUAUUCCUAGAGAUAGGAA